rnacentral:rRNA from 1 species
GACGAACGCUGGCGGCGUGCCUAAUACAUGCAAGUAGAACGCUGAAGAGAGGAGCUUGCUCUUCUUGGAUGAGUUGCGAACGGGUGAGUAACGCGUAGGUAACCUGCCUGGUAGCGGGGGAUAACUAUUGGAAACGAUAGCUAAUACCGCAUAAAAUGGAUUAUCGCAUGAUAAUCCAUUGAAAGGUGCAAAUGCAUCACUACCAGAUGGACCUGCGUUGUAUUAGCUAGUUGGUGGGGUAACGGCUCACCAAGGCGACGAUACAUAGCCGACCUGAGAGGGUGAUCGGCCACACUGGGACUGAGACACGGCCCAGACUCCUACGGGAGGCAGCAGUAGGGAAUCUUCGGCAAUGGACGGAAGUCUGACCGAGCAACGCCGCGUGAGUGAAGAAGGUUUUCGGAUCGUAAAGCUCUGUUGUAAGAGAAGAACGAGUGUGAGAGUGGAAAGUUCACACUGUGACGGUAUCUUACCAGAAAGGGACGGCUAACUACGUGCCAGCAGCCGCGGUAAUACGUAGGUCCCGAGCGUUGUCCGGAUUUAUUGGGCGUAAAGCGAGCGCAGGCGGUUAGAUAAGUCUGAAGUUAAAGGCUGUGGCUUAACCGUAGUACGCUUUGGAAACUGUUUAACUUGAGUGCAAGAGGGGAGAGUGGAAUUCCAUGUGUAGCGGUGAAAUGCGUAGAUAUAUGGAGGAACACCGGUGGCGAAAGCGGCUCUCUGGCUUGUAACUGACGCUGAGGCUCGAAAGCGUGGGGAGCGAACAGG